CUCGUCAGGCCGCCGCCCGCCCGGCGGAAGCGCGCUCCGUGCGCCGCCAGGCCUCCCGCAAAAGGCCGUCCCCCUCUUGCUCCUCCUCCGACGUGCUGGUGGACGAGGUCCUCCUCGACGACCCGACAGACGAACGGAUCGAGGCGGAGAUCGUGGCCCACCUCUUCCGCGGUCGCGCAGCAGGAGUCGCUGCGGGCGAAGAAGGCGGCGCUGCGGCGGGAGGUGGCGGAGAGCCGGGCGCUGACGCGGCGGCUCAGGGCGUACACGGACCUGCUCAUCAAGACCGACGUGACCGGGUACUCGGAGGCGCAGACGGAGGAGUACCGCCGGGAGCUCCAACGACGGAGCAAGGAGUGCUUUGGAAGGGAGCAAUGCCAAUGGCGCCACUGCCACACGUCGAAAGUGGACCGGGUUUUCAACCUUGGAUGACAUUACAUCGAUGUAUGUUUAGUAUUGUAGCUUGCUGAACAUUCUUCUUAAGUUAAUUCGGCAAUAAAGUGUGGUAUGUUUCUGCUACCCGCAUCUGCAAUAGAGAAAUGAAGCAGCCGCUCUUUGCUCAAUUCUAUCCAUCUUUACAUCCCAUUUGGAGACUCUGGUUUUAAAUGUUUGUGUCAACUGAAAUUCAUCUACUGAAACUCUGAGGAUAGAUGUUAUAACAAUGGAGAAACCCGGGUUCCAGUCCAGGUAGAGCAGGGCUUGCAAACGGGAUGACAUGGUUUCAAAUCAGCGGUUUUUUUUUUUUUUUUUGUGUGUGUGUGUGUGUGUGUGAAUGGAGCUUCUGUUCUGAGCCUUGUGAAUAGGUGAUUGCUCUGCAUCUGCUAUGCCAUGCUCUGUUAUCUCCUUGUGUUUAUUAAUUGCUGUCAGUCAGUCUCCAAAAUUGAGAUGGAUGCUAAUCAUGUUGAUAUCAUGAAUGGAGGAGUCAUCAACCAAUUA